GAAGGGCUGUAGUUUAGUGGUAGAGAACCUGCUUUUCAUGUAGAAGGGCCUAGGUUUAAUCCCCAGCAUCUUCU